rnacentral:rRNA from 1 species
UUAAGCGACUAAGCGUACACGGUGGAUGCCUAGGCAGUCAGAGGCGAUGAAGGGCGUGCUAAUCUGCGAAAAGCGUCGGUAAGGUGAUAUGAACCGUUACAACCGACGAUACCCGAAUGGGGAAACCCAGUGCAAUUCGUUGCACUAUUGCAUGGUGAAUACAUAGCCAUGCAAGGCGAACCGGGGGAACUGAAACAUCUAAGUACCCCGAGGAAAAGAAAUCAACCGAGAUUCCCCCAGUAGCGGCGAGCGAACGGGGAGGAGCCCAGAACCUGAAUCAGCAUAUGUGUUAGUGGAAGCGUCUGGAAAGUCGCACGGUACAGGGUGAUAGUCCCGUACACAAAAAUGCAUAUGUUGUGAGUUCGAUGAGUAGGGCGGGACACGUGACAUCCUGUCUGAAUAUGGGGGGACCAUCCUCCAAGGCUAAAUACUCCUGACUGACCGAUAGUGAACCAGUACCGUGAGGGAAAGGCGAAAAGAACCCCGGCGAGGGGAGUGAAAUAGAACCUGAAACCGUGUACGUACAAGCAGUGGGAGCACCUUCGUGGUGUGACUGCGUACCUUUUGUAUAAUGGGUCAGCGACUUAUAUUUUGUAGCAAGGUUAACCGAAUAGGGGAGCCGUAGGGAAACCGAGUCUUAACUGGGCGAAUAGUUGCAAGGUAUAGACCCGAAACCCGGUGAUCUAGCCAUGGGCAGGUUGAAGGUUGGGUAACACUAACUGGAGGACCGAACCGACUAAUGUUGAAAAAUUAGCGGAUGACUUGUGGCUGGGGGUGAAAGGCCAAUCAAACCGGGAGAUAGCUGGUUCUCCCCGAAAGCUAUUUAGGUAGCGCCUCGUGAACUCAUCUUCGGGGGUAGAGCACUGUUUCGGCUAGGGGGUCAUCCCGACUUACCAAACCGAUGCAAACUCCGAAUACCGAAGAAUGUUAUCACGGGAGACACACGGCGGGUGCUAACGUCCGUCGUGAAGAGGGAAACAACCCAGACCGCCAGCUAAGGUCCCAAAGUCAUGGUUAAGUGGGAAACGAUGUGGGAAGGCAUAGACAGCCAGGAUGUUGGCUUAGAAGCAGCCAUCAUUUAAAGAAAGCGUAAUAGCUCACUGGUCGAGUCGGCCUGCGCGGAAGAUGUAACGGGGCUAAACCAUGCACCGAAGCUGCGGCAGCGACACUUAGGUGUUGUUGGGUAGGGGAGCGUUCUGUAAGCCGUUGAAGGUGACCUGUGAGGGUUGCUGGAGGUAUCAGAAGUGCGAAUGCUGACAUAAGUAACGAUAAUGCGGGUGAAAAACCCGCACGCCGGAAGACCAAGGGUUCCUGUCCAACGUUAAUCGGGGCAGGGUGAGUCGACCCCUAAGGCGAGGCUGAAAAGCGUAGUCGAUGGGAAACAGGUUAAUAUUCCUGUACUUGGUGUUACUGCGAAGGGGGGACGGAGAAGGCUAGGCUAGCCGGGCGACGGUUGUCCCGGUUUAAGCAUGUAGGCGGAGUGACUUGGUAAAUCCGGUUGCUUAUCAACGCUGAGGUGUGAUGACGAGCCACUACGGUGGUGAAGUAGUUGAUGCCAAGCUUCCAGGAAAAGCCUCUAAGCAUCAGGUAACAUUAAAUCGUACCCCAAACCGACACAGGUGGUCAGGUAGAGAAUACUCAGGCGCUUGAGAGAACUCGGGUGAAGGAACUAGGCAAAAUGGUGCCGUAACUUCGGGAGAAGGCACGCUGGCAUUAGGUAAAGNNNNNNNNNNNNNNNNNNNNNNGAAGCCAGUCGCAGAUACCAGCUGGCUGCAACUGUUUAAUAAAAACACAGCACUGUGCAAACACGAAAGUGGACGUAUACGGUGUGACGCCUGCCCGGUGCUGGAAGGUUAAUUGAUGGGGUCAGCCGCAAGGCGAAGCUCUUGAUCGAAGCCCCAGUAAACGGCGGCCGUAACUAUAACGGUCCUAAGGUAGCGAAAUUCCUUGUCGGGUAAGUUCCGACCUGCACGAAUGGCGUAAUGAUGGCCAGGCUGUCUCCACCCGAGACUCAGUGAAAUUGAACUCGCUGUGAAGAUGCAGUGUACCCGCGGCAAGACGGAAAGACCCCGUGAACCUUUACUAUAGCUUGACACUGAACAUUGAGCCUUGAUGUGUAGGAUAGGUGGGAGGCAUUGAAGUGUGGACGCCAGUCUGCAUGGAGCCAACCUUGAAAUACCACCCUUUAAUGUUUGAUGUUCUAACUCGGCCCCAUAAUCUGGGGUGAGGACAGUGUCUGGUGGGUAGUUUGACUGGGGCGGUCUCCUCCCAAAGAGUAACGGAGGAGCACGAAGGUUAGCUAAUCACGGUCGGACAUCGUGAGGUUAGUGCAAAGGCAUAAGCUAGCUUGACUGCGAGAGUGACGGCUCGAGCAGGUACGAAAGUAGGUCUUAGUGAUCCGGUGGUUCUGAAUGGAAGGGCCAUCGCUCAACGGAUAAAAGGUACUCCGGGGAUAACAGGCUGAUACCGCCCAAGAGUUCAUAUCGACGGCGGUGUUUGGCACCUCGAUGUCGGCUCAUCACAUCCUGGGGCUGAAGUAGGUCCCAAGGGUAUGGCUGUUCGCCAUUUAAAGUGGUACGCGAGCUGGGUUUAGAACGUCGUGAGACAGUUCGGUCCCUAUCUGCCGUGGGCGUUGGAAGAUUGAGAGGGGCUGCUCCUAGUACGAGAGGACCGGAGUGGACGAAUCACUGGUGUUCGGGUUGUCAUGCCAAUGGCAUUGCCCGGUAGCUAAAUUCGGAAGAGAUAACCGCUGAAAGCAUCUAAGCGGGAAACUUGCCUCGAGAUGAGUCUUCCCUGGGGCUUUAAGCCCCCUGAAGGAACGUUAAAGACUAUGACGUUGAUAGGCUGGGUGUGUAAGUGCAGCGAUGCAUUGAGCUAACCAGUACUAAUGAUCCGUGAGGCUUAACCUU